rnacentral:rRNA from 1 species
AGCGAUGAGUGGAGCUUGCUCCAUGAUUCAGCGGCGGACGGGUGAGUAAUGCCUAGGAAUCUGCCUGGUAGUGGGGGACAACGUUUCGAAAGGAACGCUAAUACCGCAUACGUCCUACGGGAGAAAGUGGGGGAUCUUCGGACCUCACGCUAUCAGAUGAGCCUAGGUCGGAUUAGCUAGUUGGUGAGGUAAAGGCUCACCAAGGCGACGAUCCGUAACUGGUCUGAGAGGAUGAUCAGUCACACUGGAACUGAGACACGGUCCAGACUCCUACGGGAGGCAGCCAGUGGGGAAUAUUGGACAAUGGGCGAAAGCCUGAUCCAGCCAUGCCGCGUGUGUGAAGAAGGUCUUCGGAUUGUAAAGCACUUUAAGUUGGGAGGAAGGGCAGUAAGUUAAUACCUUGCUGUUUUGACGUUACCAACAGAAAUAAGCACCGGCUAACUUCUGCACGA